rnacentral:rRNA from 1 species
GACGAACGCUGGCGGCAUGCUUAACACAUGCAAGUGGAGCGACGAACCUUUUAGGGGCAAAGCCGCGAACGGGUGAGUAACACGUGGGCAAUCUGCCCAGUUGACUGGAAUAACUCGAGGAAACUCGAGCUAAUACCGGAUGUGCUUGCUUCUCACAAGAGGAGUAAGUAAAGGGAGCUUCGGCUAUCCGCAAUUGGAGGAGCCUGCGGCGCAUUAGCUUGUUGGUGGGGUAACGACCUACCAAGGCAUCGAUGCGUAGCUGGUCUGAGAGGACGAUCAGCCACACUGGAACUGAGACACGGUCCAGACUCCUACGGGAGGCAGCAGUGGGGAAUCUUGCACAAUGGGCGACAGCCUGAUGCAGCAAUGCCGCGUGAGGGAAGACGGCCUC